CAUGAAAAAAAAAGAAGAAAAGAUUCUUCUCUAGAUCUCUAGCGUAGAGAUCUCCAUCCUCCUAUUCUUCUUCUCCUCUAAGAGUGUCUUAAGAGAAAAGAAGAAUUAUCAUCAAUCAUCAAGAGGUGAUCUCUGUAAGAGAGCUAGCACCCCAGUGAGAUCAAAGGCUUCUGAUCAGAUCAAGACCUUGUGUGGAAACUCGUAGAUGUCAGACACUUGUGCAGCUUUAAAGAGAUCUAGAAGACAUGCAUCCAAGAUCAUCACUUUGUAGAUGAAGAUUGACUCAUGAUGA
rnacentral:lncRNA from 1 species